CCUACGGGAGGCAGCAGUGGGGAAUAUUGGGCAAUGGGCGAAAGCCUGACCCAGCGACGCCGCGUGAGGGACGAAGGCCUUCGGGUUGUAAACCUCUUUCAGCAGGGAAGAAGCGAAAGUGACGGUACCUGCAGAAGAAGCACCGGCUAACUACGUGCCAGCAGCCGCGGUAAUACGUAGGGUGCAAGCGUUGUCCGGAAUUAUUGGGCGUAAAGAGCUCGUAGGUGGUUUGCCACGUCGGAUGUGAAAACCUGAGGCUUAACCUCAGGCCUGCAUUCGAUACGGGCAGACUAGAGUGUGGUAGGGGAGACUGGAAUUCCUGGUGUAGCGGUGAAAUGCGCAGAUAUCAGGAGGAACACCGGUGGCGAAGGCGGGUCUCUGGGCCAUAACUGACACUGAGGAGCGAAAGCGUGGGGAGCAAACAGGAUUAGAUACCCUGGUAGUCCACGCCGUAAACGGUGGGCACUAGAUGUGGGGACCUUCCACGGUCUCUGCGUCGCNGCUACGCAUAGUGCCCGCCGUCGGGAGGUACGGCCGCGACGACGUAAACUACAAGAGUAGUAGACGCGAGAGUACGCGACGACGACGACGACGGAGGAGGAG
rnacentral:rRNA from 1 species